GACUCUGUAGUGAAGUUCAUAGUGAGUUGCAAACUCAUUGAUGUGCAUGAGUAGUGCGCCGGGGUCU
rnacentral:tRNA from 3 species